rnacentral:rRNA from 1 species
CCUACGUGUGGCAGCAGUGGGGAAUAUUGCACAAUGGGGGAAACCCUGAUGCAGCGACGCCGCGUGAGCGAAGAAGUAUUUCGGUAUGUAACGCUCUAUCAGCAGGGAAGAGCAGCAGACGGUACCUGUCGAAUAAGACACGGCUAACUACGUGCCAGCAGCCGCGGUAAUACGUAGGUGGCAAGCGUUGUCCGGAUUUACUGGGUGUAAAGGGCGUGUAGCCGGGCUGACAAGUCAGAUGUGAAAUCCGGGGGCUCAACCCCCGAACUGCAUUUGAAACUGUUGGUCUUGAGUAUCGGAGAGGCAGGCGGAAUUCCUAGUGUAGCGGUGAAAUGCGUAGAUAGUAGGAGGAACACCAGUGGCGAAGGCGGCCUGCUGGACGACAACUGACGGUGAGGCGCGAAAGCGUGGGGAGCAAACAGGAUUAGAUACCCCGGUAGUC